rnacentral:misc_RNA from 1 species
UAAUAAGUGUUUUAUGGCACUUUUAAAUCCAUACCCACCUUGUGUGCAAUGUUGGUCGAUCUUCUUUUUUUGAGGAUCGACCAAACAUCAACCUUUAUCUUUUAACUCUUUGUCUGAAAAAUAUUAUGAAUAAACAAUUCAAAAUA